CUCCGUGAGGGGUUACAGUACCACAGCAGUCAGUUUCACAGCACAGGCUCAGAUACAGCAGUGUGGUAGAAGAACUGUGCACAGCAGAGUGAAAAGCUCCUGUGCUGCACUGAAAUAUUUAACAGACGAUGCACGUGCGGCUACGAAAGGGUUAACCCCAAUGUUGUGAUCAGCACUAACAGGAAUGAAGGACAUACGGGUCAGCCAAUGAAAAAGGAGAAGGUAAGUGCGACUAGCCAAUCACAGGAAAUACCUGCCCCGGAUAUUGCGGGAGUUCAUGCUGGAGAGUAAAACCACGUGGUGCUGCAGGAGCUUUUAGUCAGAUGAUGGAUUCUGGGAGAAGUCCGCUCGUUCCUCUGCCCGUCCAGGACACGAGGGCUGAGACGCCCGCUGACGUGUCGCUCAUCGUUCCGGUCUACAACGCGGCGCUCUGGCUGGACGAUUGCCUGGCGUCCGUAUUCCAGCAGGACUUUGGAGGCGUCCUGGAGGUCUCCGUUUACAAUGACGGCAGCACGGACGACUCUGCAAGUAUUCUACAGAGAUGGAAGCCAA